GAUGAACGCUGGCGGCGUGCCUAAUACAUGCAAGUCGAGCGAACAGACGAGGAGCUUGCUCCUCUGACAUUAGCGGCGAACGGGUGAGUAACACGUGGAUAACCUACCUAUAAGACUGGGAUAACUGCGGGAAACCGCGUCUAAUACCGGAUACUAUAUUGAACCGCAUGGUUCAAUAGUGAAAGACGCUUUUGCUGUCACUUAUAGCUCGAUCCGCGCCGUAGUAGCUAGUUGGUAAGUUAACGGGUUACCAAGGCAACGAUGCGUAGCCGACCUGGACGGGUGAUAGGCCACACGGGAACGUAGACACGGACAAGACGACUGAGGGAGGCCGCAGUAGGGAAGCGUACGCAAUGGGCGAGAGCAUGACGGAGCAACGGCGAGCGAGUGAUGAAGGUCUCCGGAUCGGAACAACCGGUUACUAGGGAAGAACCAAUGUGUACGUAACUAUACACGUAGUGACGGUACCUACUGAGAAAGCCACGGCUAACUACGUG
rnacentral:rRNA from 1 species